rnacentral:lncRNA from 1 species
AACUAUGUUGCAACAACCUCACGUUGUGCAUAGAAUCUGCAUGCUUCUGAGUAAUGCAGACUAGCUUCAUAAAUCCUCAUGCUGCAUUGCUAAAUCUAUCCUAUGUGGAAGUAGGUGUUAAGAAGAAUGAGUUCUUUAGUUCCAUGUCAUAUGUGGUGAUUUUGAUGACCAUAUGCAAUCAUCUUAUGACACUGCUGCAGAAGGUUAUUCUUGCAUGCAAUUUCUUCUCGAGUUGCACUCGAGUGUAUGGCNN